ACUACUUCUACUUUUACUGGAGUCUUUUCAAAAAUGAGUAUCUGUACUUCUACUUGAGUAAAGGAUGUGUGUACUUUUGCCACCUCUGUUGAUCAGACCCAUUUAGAAUGGAUUUUUUAAAAAUUCAUCUAACCCUUAUUAUUUUGUCCACAAUAAUGUAAAUGUUAAGAUCUCGUGUUCAUCGCACGUGCCAUCCAUCUUGCCAGUCUACACCAGGUAUUAUGAGAACAUACAGUAUAGAAAUCUUUUACAUUCUAGAAUUUAGAUUUAGAACUUACGUUCAUUCGUCACAAAUACGUGCGCACGUCGCGUUUGCCUGUUGCCGUGGUGACGCUAUGCUACGCUACGCUAAUUUAAUUCAUAAAUACUAAUUACGUUAUUAAUACAUAGUAUAUACAUAAUACCUAAUUACGGGAUAUGCUUGUGAAAGAACAUGACAUCAGUAGUCCUUUACAGGCAUUCUGUCACUAACACAAAAAUGAUCAGGGUGAUUAUUAUGAUGUCGCUUAUUGCGCAUGCUCAGAAGCGACGUUCAUUAUACACGGAAGUGUCGCGUUUGCUGGUUGCUAUGGCGACGCUUUGCCGCCAAAUUUAACCUACUAUUUAAUAACAUCGUUUCAUGUGGUUCAUUCCAUUUAGAAGUCAUCCAGAAAAUGAACAAAUGCAUUUUUGAUGUCUGAAGGUGUAAAGUAAGAAAUUAAAUACAUUCUAAGCAAAGAUGUGAGCUGUAGGUUUUUUAGUUACUUUGAUUAUAUUUGAAGUCAAAUGAAGGAUUCUGAUUUAGAUUAAGGAAUGAAACAAAAAUGAUGAUCUUAAAUGUUUAUAAUGACACAUUGCCUUUUGUUCAGUGAUUAGAGCCACAACUUUGAACAUGGCUAUAUGGCUGUGGUUAGAUUGUGAAUGUAUUUUAGAAAAUUCACAACAGAAAUUUCAUUCACUUCUGAACAACAUUAGCAUUUUAAUUAAAAUCAAAGGUAAUGAAGGUCACAGGAAGCUGAUUUGCAGUUCUGGACACCAGUUCUGGGAGAGAAGUUUUAUCUAGUCAUCAGAAUUGCACAAGUAAAGUAUCAUCUGGCCAACAAUGAACCCAGCAGGACCCCCGGAGCUACAGUCCCUCUUUGACACUGUCCUAAUCCUCUUCUGCACAUGCGUGCCAGCUCAAGGACAUUGCCUCAGCCACAAACAAACUAUUUCAUCUCAUGAGCAUAAUAAAAAAAGACAUGCACUGAAUAGGGACGGUAAAAGUGGGUGGGUCCAAUAUUAUUGGUCUUAAAAAGUGGGUGGGUCCUGUCCCACCCACAUAAAAUGGUUCCGACACCAAUGGGUCUCUAUACAAACACAAAACUGACUUAAACACAAAGUAAUUUUUAAACACUAUUUUAUUUAAGUCAGACCAGCACAAACUGAAUAUAUCACAAGAAUUUCUGAAAUGAAUAACAAUACAAACUGAAUAAUAUAUUCAGAAUAAAAAACUAAAAUGGCUUAUGUGUUAACUGAACAAGCAUUAAUUAUCUCCAAUGGAGCAGUUUGACAACAACAUUGGAAAAGAAAUAAUGACACAUUUGGAGCAGCAGUGAGGUGCACUGUCGGCGACUUCGGAUCAGCCAAUGUGAGCAAGAGAACUAAAGCAGAAAUCCAUUGCCAUUAUCUCUAGAAGAUUCCCAUUCUCUUAUUUCCUAGCAGGUAGUGUUGAGUGAGGUAUCAAAUGUCAUAUACAUGGUGUAUAUAUACUGUACGCUCUGAAAGUACCGGAACAGCAAAGCCAGUUAUUUUGUUUUUGGUGUACACUGAAAACAUUUUGGUUUGAGAAUUUUUAGCAUUCAUUUACUGAUAUUUACAUCUAGACGUGUUACUUGAAACAACAUUUCUCCAGGACCAUGAUGCUACAUAAAAUGACACAGCUUAGGACUUAAAGUAAGUUGUCCUAGCCACAUAAAAUGCAUUGUGUGCAACCUAGUGCAAACAGAAAAUACAAAACUGUACAGGACAAAUGCAUGAAAUAGUGCUGAUCAGUGUGCAUUUUGUAUAUUAGACAAUGUGCAAAUUUAAUUUGUUUUUUAAAGGAAGAAAAAACCCCAAGAAGAACAGAGAGCUGUCUACAGGAGAAAAGCGAGCCAUUUGGAUGCUGAAGAAAGAGAGAAAAUCAAUCAGGGCCAUUAAACAAACAUUGGGCAUAGCCAGUGUAAUGAUAUGGAAUGUCCUCAAUGAGUUAGAAACUAUAGAUGUACUAAUAACCAGACCAGACCUACUUACUUAUAGAUGUAUUACGAGAUGCUUGAGAUGAGCUAGGUUCCACUCUCAGGUAAUAUUGUUUUGGACGUUAGAGGUAUUAUCCUGUAAAGGCUUUUCUAUAAUCCACAAUUAUUCCCCCACAUGCCCCUUCCUUCAAACAGUAUUGCCACCCUAAAAGAAAUUGUUAAACUUUUUUUUAACAAUUUUUAACUUUUUUUUAAACAAACUUUCCAAUUUAUUUGGAAAAUAUGUCUGAUAAUGGUCACAUGAAGUCAUUAUUUAUUACAUAGACUUAUUGUUAUAAUUAUUUAUUACAUAGAAACCUAAUAAUAACUAAAAUCACCUUAACAACCUUGAUCCAGGUCCAUUGACCAUCCAGGUUCUUUUGUCUUUCCCAUGGUCAGACAAAAGAACCUGGAUGGUCAAUGGACCUGCAUAAUAAGGUAGUUGAACUUUAUAAAGCAGGAAAAAGAAUAUAAAUAGAUAUCUCAACACUUGAAAAUGCUAGUCAGUACUGUUCAAACUCUAAUAAUGAGGUGGAAAAUAAGAGGUUUUGUUGAUACUAAGCCACGGUCAGUUGGAUCAAGAAAGGUCUCACCCACUACUGCCAGAAGAAUUGUACUGGAUGCAAAGAAAAACCCACAAACAACUUAGAGAGAAAUAAAGACUGCUCUGGAAAAAAUGGUGGUGUUUAAAGGAGCACACUAAGGAUGUACUUGAACAUAAAUGACCUUCAUGGUUGAAUUGCCAGGAGAAAGCCAUUACUGUGCCUAUGCCGCAAAAAGUCGCACCUUCGGUACGCCAGACAGCACCUAGACAAGCCUCAAGCUUCUGGAGUCAUGUUGAGUGAUGAGACCAAAAUUAAACUUUAUAGUCACAACCAAAAUCAUGUUUGGAGAGGAGUGGACAAGGCCUAUGGCCUACGGCCUACGGUGAAACGUACACCAUCCCAACUGUAAAGCGUGGUGAUGGAUCGCUUAUGUUUUGGGGCUGUGUGAGCACCAGUGGCAUAGGGAGGUUAGUAAAAACUGAUGGCACGAUGAAUGCAGCAUGUUAUCAGAAAAUACUGGUAAACAAUUUGCAUUCUACAGGAAAGCUGCACAUGGGACACCCUUAAAUGUUCCAACAUGACAAUGAUCCAAAGCACAAGGCAAGGUUAACCCUCCAAUGGCUAGAAAAAGGUGAAGGUUCUGGAGUGGCCAUUACAACAACAAAAAAAAAAAUACAGGAACUGGAGGCAUUUUGCCAAGAAGGAUGGGCAGCUAUAACACCUGAGAGAAUUAAGGACCUCAUGCACAAUUACUACAAAGACUGCAUGCGAUCAUUGAUGCUAAAGGGUGCAAUAGACGAUAUUAAGAACUAAAAGUAUGCAAACUUUUUAACAGGGAUUAUUUCCUUAUUUUGUUUUUUGUUCUGUUUUGUUUGAUUGUGCUAUAAAAAAAUCAAUGAAAUUG